GUCUUCUUGGUGGAGUUGGUUACCACGUGAGUCUCAUACACGCAUUAUGAUGGCGUUUCUCGCCAAGUGAUCUCAAGGUCGCCAGUUCGAUCCUGGCAGAGGACA